rnacentral:rRNA from 1 species
GAGGGCUUGGUCCUGGCCCUAAGAUCAACUUUUACUCAACCUACACAUGCAAGUUUCCGCACCCCUGUGAAAACGCCCUUAACCCCCUCUUAGGAACAAGGAGCUGGUAUCAGGCACACUUCCUUGCCCAAGACACCUAGCUAUGCCACACCCACACGGGACUCCAGCAGUGAUUAACAUUGAGCAUGAGCGACAGCUCGACUCAGUCAAAGUAAAAAGGGCUGGCAAAUCUGGUGCCAGCCGCCGCGGUUAGACCAGAAGCCCAAGUUGAUCGCUUUCGGCGUAAAGCGUGGUUAAAGCCAUCAUAAAACUAGGGUCAAACCGAAAUUAAGCCGUAAUAAGCUUGUUUUAUGGGAAGCCCAUAAACGAAAGUUACCCUACCCUGCCGACUUGAAUCCACGACAGCUGGGGCACAAACUGGGAUUAGAUACCCCACUAUGCCCAGCCGUAAACUUUUAAUUACCCCCUUCCCCGCCAGGGAACUACGAGCUAAGCUUAAAACCCAAAGGACUUGACGGUGCCCCAUAUCCCCCUAGAGGAGCCUGUCCUAUAAUCGAUGAUCCCCGUUAAACCUCACCACUUCUAGCCUUUCAGCCUGUAUACCUCCGUCGCCAGCUCACCACGUGAGUGAAACUCAGUGGGCACAAGGGCCCAACAACGCCAGUACGUCAGGUCAAGGUGCAGCCAAUGAAGCGGGAAGAGAUGGGCUACACUCUCUAACUUAGAAAACACGAAAGACUACCUACGAAACCUAGUCAAAAGGCGGAUUUAGCAGUAAGAAGGAACUAGAACGUCCUCCUUAACCCGGCUCUGGGGUGUGUACACACCGCCCGUCACCCUCUUCAAAACAAAUAAUAUGUAUUUAACUAGCCAUCCCACUAAAGAAGAGGCAAGUCGUAACAUGGUAAGUAUACCGGAAGGUGUGCUUGGAAA